rnacentral:rRNA from 1 species
UACGAAAGGAGCUAGCGUUGUUCGGAAUCACUGGGCGUAAAGCGCACGUAGGCGGAUGUGUCAGUCAGGGGUGAAAUCCCGGAGCUCAACUUCGGAACUGCCUUUGAUACAGCACGUCUUGAGUCCGGAAGAGGUGGGUGGAAUUCCUAGUGUAGAGGUGAAAUUCGUAGAUAUUAGGAAGAACACCGGUGGCGAAGGCGGCCCACUGGUCCGGUACUGACGCUGAGGUGCGAAAGCGUGGGGAGCAAACAGG